AUCACUUUAGUAUAACGAUAGUACACUUGCCUUCCAAGCAAAAAGUUUAAAUGCCUAAAAGUGAUA
rnacentral:tRNA from 1 species